rnacentral:lncRNA from 1 species
AAGCACAAAUAUUUGUUCAAUGAAUGAAUGAAUGGACCUAAUGAACACAGGCUUAUUAUGCUUAAAGGAUAAUCUGUUUUGUUUUCUUCAGUUAUCUCAAACCAAACUCAUCAACAAGCAAAACAUUAUUUACAUCUAGCAUGUUUUUAUGAAUGAAAAGCCAGAGCGAGUUGUGUCUCACUUCUGCAUGAGUAAGCUAUUAAAAUAAGCAUACAUGCUUGCAUCCAAAAAUUUCACUUUUAUUCCCAAGAUAGUUCGUCCUAAAGAUGGAGCAAAUAAAUGCUCUGUUUGCUUGGGAAAUUAUAAACUGCAGUCCAAAAGAAGGUUCAGAAAUGCAGUUUAAUAAACACUAAAUAAAAACGUUGGUGAAGUAAUGGUUCACAAACAUCAUUUGAAUGACUCAAAUGCAAUGCAAAUGGGAAAAGACCUUAGCUAAAAACAUCACAUCAGAAGUAGAAAACUAUCACUCUGAUUCAGAAACAUUAAGACAAGAAAGCAUUUGUGCAAGCAAUUGUUAUUGCUAAAUGCAGAGCUAAAUGGAAGUUUAAGAAAGUUCUCUGAUAAAAUACAUCUGUCACUAAUUACUCUUACAUUUAAAAACCUAAAUUGCUUUGGAUAAAUAAUUUGAUGCCAAAAGGUCCAUAAUGCAUUAUUCAACGCAAAUCGAAUAAUACGCUUUCAUCAUCAUCUAGUUGAAGUCUUACUGAAGUUACUUUCCUAAUACUUAAGUGGCAUAAUUUGUACAAUGAUUACUGAAGGCUUCCCCCAAAAUAAAUAUCUCACAUCAGAGUAAGUUGAAUGGUCGGUAAAUCACAUUACUUAAGUAAAUAUGAAACAAGCUAUUACUGUGCACCCCUACUAUGCAAGCCCUGGCAAAGAAUUACAAACACAAAAAUCUUACAGCUAGAAGAGAGACAUCUAGUGUGUGUUGGAGAACUUUAUAUAUUGUGCUUCAGGCAUAAUUAAUACAGCAAAAUCACUGCAGUCGUUUUGCAUACUGUGGUGGGAGAUUUUUGACAAAUAUCUUUCACCCUCAAUUCAUUUCAAAAUUUCUUCCCGGCUGUGUGACAUUUUUGCCUAAUUAGAUACCUUCUUCUUAACAUAAGCCUAACCCAAUGAAGUUUUCUCCGUGAUGCAAAGUUUUAAAGUUUCAUGGUCACCUUUGCAACCUAAUUAGUAAACAUUUAACCUACUGUCAUCAUAACCACUGCUCACAAUUCUUUCCAUUCAGGCAGCAGCAGGACUCCCGAGUCAAACUGUUGCAGUCAGUGUUUUAGUUUCCUGAAUAUCAGCCCCUCGUAGUAAGCCAAAUGCCACACAAAUACAAACACGAGGAAUAAAUCGGCACACUGCCCAUUAUCCAGGAGACAAACGGAUCCACUGCUAUUUUAAAUUCACCAAGUAGGCUAUUAGUUGCCACAGAUUCCCAUAUAUGUAGGUGAAUUCCUUGAUGCAGAAUCAGGUUUAAUGAAUCAUUCUACAGCAUCAGCCUCAGCCUUUUAAAAUCCUUUAUUUUCUCCUUUUCCACAUUAAAAACACAUUUGAGAUAUACACAGAAAAUGUUUCUCUAAAAAAACGCACACAUACACACAAAACAGGAGGUCUCUUAAGGAGUCUACUGCUGAGAAGGUAAAAGCAUUUUGCUCAUUUUUAAUUUGCUAAAACAAUCCAAGCAUGCUUGGUACCCAGAGGGUAUUCUCAAAUAAACUUGUAUCUCUAGCUGCCAGCUUAGUUGAUUGAAAACAGAAGGCAAACGUUUCUUAAAGAAUAUGUUAAACUGUUAUGUCUCCCAGUACCACUCAGGAUACACACACACACACACAGACACACACACGCACACAUACCGCAUAGUCAAGGAUUUGCUUGAAAGCAGCCAGUUCUAUUAUCUAAAAGGUAAUACAUUUGUACCAAAUUACUCCUGCCUACUGCGGUGCACCUUUUAGCGAAGAAGCCAGUGCCACUGGGAUCCUGGACAGUUCUGGUGUGCCAUUCUCCACGUACAAAGCCAACGGCCCCAUUUGCGACUUUGCUAACUUAGUUGGCUUCCGCCCAGCCGAACCCCGAAGCACAGUCACUGAAAACGUUUUGAUACCAGAAAAUCAUUUCCACGACAGUGCAAGUGUUCGAAAGCACAAAGGCAGACUGUCUACCCGCGACAGUUCGCAAGUUGCGGUGGCGGGGCGGCUGUGCGGAGCGCGCGUGCAGACUUUUUGUAGAAACUCUGCAGGUCAGAAGAUUUUUGUAUGGAAUGAUCUUCUCCAAUCAAUUAUUUGAAUCUAAGGUGUGCUCAAGAGGAGAAUCAGUUUCCCAUUCAACCACUUAGGAUUCUUUCUCUCUGCGUCCUAAAUUUGGCUUUGAGACCUUGGAUGAUGAUUCUCCUAAUCUGGUCAAUGGACCACCUGCAAGAAUCACCCAGGACUGGAGCCCAGGAAUCUGCUCAGUAACGUGACUGGGGUGCAUAGGAAGAGAAGAUCAUCAGUGGCAAAUGGCAGUCACAGGAAAGCAACACCCACAGCCGGUUUCACACGUGUGGAGAGCACCCUGA